GUCAAAUCGCCUUCUCCUCCCUCCUUCCCUCAUCCCUGAGCCGCCACCUCCGCCACUUCUCCUCUCCCCUAGCCAAGCUCGAGCCCUCCGCCGUCCCCUCCUCCUUGACCACCUCUCCCUUCCUCUAAAGAAGGAGCACGGGCCCGCCGCUACACCUGAGCCGCUAGAAGGUCGUCGGGUGGAGGUGUCCCAGGUCUCGAAGCCUCCGGAGUCGCUGUCGCUGUACGGAGAUGGGUCGGCAGAGGAUGACGGUGUUGGGGUCAGGAGGGCAAAGGCGCCGCCGACGAUGAUGUGGAGGAGGACGAGGUUGAGGCCCCUCCUGCCGUUGUCUCCUUUUCGAGGCUGUUCCACUUGGCCGACGGCCUCAACUAGGUGCUCAUGGCUGCUGGCGCACUCGCUACCGCCGCCCACGGCGCAUCACUCGUCAUCUGCCUGCACUAUUUCAGGAGGUCCUUCAAUUUGGUCGACACUGAACGGGUUCAGUGUGUUCUCCACGGCCUGCUCCUCGACUAAUUUAUGCAGGUUCCAGUUUAUUCCUACAAAUUGAAGUGGUAAAGACCGUUUCCUGCGCGCGUGUUCCACUACUGUCCUAUAUAUACAGCGAGCAGGGAAACCACCGAAUCAUACAGAGCAGAGCACACAAUAGUACAAGACCGGCAUGCGGCAGCAACAAGGCCUCCACAUACAAUCUCUCUUGUUGCAAUCUCUCUUGAUUAUUCUGGCCCAUCAUCAAACUUGAUUAGCGACAGAGAAACAACUUGUCAGAUACAAGAUCAAUAUAUGGUUGCCAAUGUAUGUUUGUUUAACUUUUUCCAGGGUGUUCUACUCUAUGGGGAAGCCAUUAUUAUCAAGGGCUAUGGCCAGUAACAUUCAUGCUAACUUUUUGGGUUUUCACUUGAUUGAUGGUACUUCGUAUUUUCAUUCUGUCAGUAUUACAUUACACUGACGUGUUGUCUAAAAAUCAGAUUGUGUCAAGUGCUAUAAUUGACAAAUACAUCGGAGAAAUUGCUCAUUUAAUCAGAGAAAUGUUUGUUUGGCUAUGCACGUGAUCACCAACUAAGUUUUGCCCCGUCUCUCUUUUUUGCAAAGCUAAUUGGUCUUAAACUUAAUUCCCUUAUUAUCUGUUAGAAACGCAUGUUGGCAGAUAGUUAUGCAUCCCCUGGCGCUGAGAUGCAAGCUGCGACUUGAUAGUUCGCUUGACUCAGAUAUCAUGUCAUCGAAUUGUAUUCCGGUUCAACGCUAUAAAAUUUUAAGCUUUAGAUCUCAAUAUCAGUUUUUCCUGAGAAAAAGAAAUCAAACUGAUCUCAAUAUAAGUAGAAGUGCAUUUCUGAGAUCUUUUAGCUUAUAUCACCAUUUAGUUUAUUUACCCUGCUCAUAGAUUUUGUUUCAUUUUCAUCAAAUUGUUAUUUCUAGCGAUGCAUUAUCUUCAUGGUUGAAAUCGAUGCAAUUGGUGAGAGAAGAUUUAGUGAGGGAACCUGUGACGUCCGUGAGAUCCAGCGGACACUCAUGGAGCUUCUUAAUCAUUUAGAUGGAUUUGAUGAGCUUGGCAAGGUAAACUAUCUGGAUGCGGAUUCACGUAACAUUUUAUUUAACUCCUUUUUCUAACAUUGCACAUUUUUGCUCUCGGGGGAAAGUAUAGGUGUUUCGACAUCAAUUUUGUACAUAAUUUAUUUUUUUCAUCUUUGCUUGAUUGCUUCUAUGGAUUUUUUGGAUGCGGAUUCGAGUAACAUUUUAUUUCACUCCCUUUUUUAACAUUACACAUUUUUAGAAGGAAAAAAAAUUGAGGACUGCAGGUUUUGUUUUGUCUGAUUGUUGGCAUGCCAACGGAAUUGCCUCAUUGUUUGAUAGACUUGAAUACUUAUGAUUUCUUUCUUACCGGGCUUUUUUUAUUUUAUUUUGGGAAAACCCAUGACUUUAUCUUAACCUGAUACAUCGUGAUCACUAAUGCCGAGAAGGGUUCAUCGUCCCAAUCAAGGUGAGUAAAAUUGACCGCCUCUUUUGGUGCUGAUGCAACUAGGAAUGGUGUUACUUGUGGCUUGAGUGGCUUCAGUUCAGUGAGUAACACAACUUAUUUGCACUUCCUGGAAAUAUAAUUAUCAUCUGUGAUUUUGCUAUGUAUUAGCUGUGACUUGACUGAUUCCAGGUCAGGAACAUGAUUAGCCUGAUGUAUUAUGCAUGACCAUUGGAAGACAUUGUUUUCCAUGAUAUAAUUAGUGUGAUGGUACAGUUACCCCAAUUGAUCGGAUGCCACAAUGCCCUUUAUUUGUGCUUUUGGUUGAUUUCUUCAAGCAGUGCAAGCUAGAGUGUGAGUUUUGCCUAUGCCCUUAGUAGCUUACAAAAUUUCACCUUACUUCACUUUCCUGUUACUAUAUUGGCAUCUAUUCAUGAAGCAUGGUAAUUUCCUUAUAAGUAUAAAUUUUUGCAAUCAGCACAUGAGUCAUCCUAUCUGUUUUACAACCCGAGGUUCACAUUAGUUGUUUCUCUUCAUGGUGACUCAGCUUUAUUGGUGUCACUCUCAGCUCGAUGGUCAUGAAUCAAAUGUGACUUCCUAUCUAAUUACAUUUAACUUCAACAAUUGCUUGUUUUAACCAUUGCUCAUAUUUCAGAUUGUCUUUGAUGGGUGAGUUUUGGCUAUGUACACAACAUCGCACUCAGAAUUUGAGCGGCGCUAAUAGAACUGUUGAGUGCUCGAUCUGAUUGUUUAAAGAAUCAAAGCAUUCAAAUUCUUGUUUUAAUGCUUUAGAAUAUGAAUGCCUUUAAAAAAAUUACCAUGCAUUUGUAAUUUUGUAACUCAUGUUGAUCAGUAAUUCUUGUAGUUGUGUAAAUUUUGCACAAUCAUAAGUCCUUUAGAAUGCUAAAAGCUUGACACCUUUGCUUCAAUAGUUUCCCUGAACUAAACUUCUGUAAAAUACAUAAACCAAAGAGUACUCUUAGAUAUUUAGUUUAGGUUAAAUUUGCGCAGAGUGAUUAAGAAUAUUGGCUUGCAAUAAUAAUCAAAAUGGACCAAUUUGGCGUGCAGUAAUAAUCAUAACGGUAAAUGGUAUGUUCUUUUAUUGCUACUCUCACUUUCCAUGUGCAUGCUAGGUAUGUUGCCUUUCACUAGGCAAUUGUACUUUAUUCUGGGUUGCAUCAACUUGCAUCAGUCGCUGCUCCUCGGUGUGUGCAAGGGGAAGUGCAGAAGUAGUGGGGAGUGUAGCUGACUAAAAUCCAUGUAGCAUUUGUGUUGGGUACAUCAAGAUGAACAUCAUGCUGAUUCUGAUGUGGAAAUGGAUGACGCCAGGCCUAUAGAGUACUCAUAAAGGUGUUAUGUUUUAUUUGGUUCCUUAGUCAUGAAGUCCCUUUCUUCAGCCAAACUGAAGCACUUGGUGUUGGCCUGUCUUUGCUUUUGGAUUAACUGUAAUAUAUCCUCAUUAGAUGUAUCAUUACUUGUGAUGGUUCUGAACUCAAAUAAUACAGUAUAUGUACUUUGAUUGA